AUUUGGUGCAUGAAAGAAUACACGGAGAUUACUGGUGCCACGGGAAAUUCUCAAAGGAACGGUCGACCGGUAUCCCAAACUACGACGUAUGCUGCAGCUGACAGUUAAACAUUCUCCUAGUUCGGUACGACAAGGAUUCGUGGAAUUCGGAGUACUGCUGUCGGUAUUUUUUUAGCAUGAAGUACAUGAGUCGGCGCCGCGAAGAGUGUGAUUUGUUGAUCGACGAUUUGCGACAGCAUUGUCUUGCCGAAUUGUUCUCUUUUUGGAGGAGUGUGCUGUUGAUCGCGGCAUUAUUCGUAUCCGAAAUUAUUUUGGUUCGUGGAGGGGGUGAGAAGAUAAUAGUCUUUACGCGAUGUAAAUCUAGAAAACUGGUGAUUAUUUGUGCAACGAUCAGUUUUUAAUUGGCCAAAAUUUAAUUGAUGGACCUGACAACGCUGAAUCGUAUGUGUAACUUUCUGAACUCGGUGUGCCUGGUACAGGAACUGACAAACAUAGAACAGGUUUGGUUUCAGUAAGAAAGUGCGCCAACACGAACUGUGACCGAUUUCCUCAACGAAGCAGGCCUUCAUUGAUGAAUUGCUCGAGGUUCAACAUCGGCUUCACCACUACCAUGGCAGCCACACAGUUCGUAAAAGAUGAAGUGGAAGUAUUGUGGUACAGCACGUUAAAGUCUUCUGUGAUUGAUGCCUUCACCUGGGUAUCACCACGAAAAGAUGUUACGAGGGACCUGUCCAUGCAUUGAGCUGUGUGCCAACCAUGAUGGUGCUCAUAUUGACCUGAUGGAUUCAUAAAAGGGGCCUUGCGUAUGGAAAAUUACACCACCAUGGAGCUUCGUCGUUCGGCUAGUGGGGUUAAAUAUGAAGGCAGUAUGUUCCUCGGAUACGUUGGGGUCCAGACGGCGUUGCAACCCAGAAGAACUACAUCGACAGAAAAGGGACUGCAUUUAUGACGACGCCCACCGAGUCUCUCACUCCGUAAGUAACCUUUAUACAAUUAACAUUAUGUUUCGACUUAUAUAUCAAUAAUCAAGGGAUAUAUGUGAACCCAUCUCGUGAUCCGAUCCAAUAUUCUGUCACUUGAAACGAAAUUCCUAAGGCUGUUUAACUGUUGUCACGGAAUACCUCUAGAUA